UUAGACUUAUGCAUAAUAGUGUUUUUAAAGGUGUUUGAAUUAUUGAAGUGUGACAUAUUUUUUAUUUGUAAUUGUUAAUAAUCCCAUAGAUUAUCACCUUUAUAUGAUAUACAUAUGUACUGGUUCACAUCUGAAACAUCUUCUGGACCACUUCAGGAAGCAUAUUAUUAUUUACUUUAUACAUCAUUUGAACAGUUGUUUUUUCAAUACAAUUUUAAAAUGUGUAACUUUAUGAAUUAUUUGUUGGGUCUCUAUAGUCAAUUGUAUUAAUUGUCUUUAUUACACUCUGUAACUGUUGCUACUAGUAAUUAUUGUAAUUUGUUUUAUUUCUCUAAAAACAGAAUAAGUUAAGUUCAUAAAAGGGGAUUUAAAUAAAAAUGUAUACAAGUUCAUAAGAAGGCUUUAUUUAAGUUACUAUGGUUAAAAAUGUCAUUGCAUGCCUUUUUGUUGGGUUUGUGGGCAUGUGUUUGUUUUGAAGUGUCUCGAUUGGUCUGUGAAGGGAUAUAAGGAAGCUACUUCCGGGUAUGAGGAACAUCUGUUUGAUGCCAUGAGAAGGAAGAAAGAGAGCGACUGAUGGUUACAAGGACUAAAAAGUGUCACGAGGACUUUCAGCGUUUGGGCCACAAGAGCCAGAAGAUCACCAUUUCCUCCUAAAAGAAGCAUGCAGGCCAACGAGUUUUCACGGUGAAUUGAAGGGAAAGGAAGCCUUCAAUAAAUCAGUCAAAGAAA